rnacentral:misc_RNA from 1 species
UCUCCGUUGGUGAACCAGCGGAGGGAUCAUUACCGAGUUUACAACUCCCAAACCCAAUGUGAACCAUACCAAACUGUUGCCUCGGCGGGGCCACGCCCCGGGUGCGUCGCAGCCCCGGAACCAGGCGCCCGCCGGAGGGACCAACCAAACUCUUUCUGUAGUCCCCUCGCGGACGUUAUUUUUACAGCUCUGAGCAAAAAUUCAAAAUGAAUCAAAACUUUCAACAACGGAUCUCUUGGUUCUGGCAUAGAUGAAGAACGCAGC